GUCUUCUUCUUCAGCAACAGCAGCAGCAGCAGCAACAACAACAACAGCAACAUCAACAGAAGCAGCAUCACCAGUCGCUCGCCUCAUAUUUCCAUCUCUUCCAUUUGGUGGAGAAAUUAGCGGACAAGAUCGAGAAUGGAACCAGGGAUCUGCAGUCUGAUGCAUUGGUAUUAUUUUGUAAUUGGGGGUUUUCGAAUGUUUUUUUGUUAAAGUUGUUAUUUUGAAGGUUUAUGAAUUUGAAUUGUGUAAUGGGUUCUGAAUUCGGAUUGGUUAGCGAUUUGAACAACCACUUUGAGAAGUGCCAGCAGCUGCUCAACUCCAUAUCCGGAUCGAUCAGCAUCAAGGCUUUGGUAAUUGAGUUAUUUUGAUGUUUGUUGCAGGAUAAUCAAUGGGGGAUGCGUUGGAUGACAUUGUUUAAUGUGAGAGUUUAUGUGGAGUGUGGUCUUGAUUAAGGUCUCCCCCAUGUUAUGUUGUCAUUCCAUUUGGUUCGCGAAUUUAAAUAUGGUCGAUGAUUUGGAGUAAUAGUUUGGUAGCAGAACAUGCCACACCCACACUGUAUUACAAUAUAGCAUUUUCUUAGUAUUGGAGUGGAAUGUUUAAGA